AUUGAACGCUGGCGGCAGGCUUAACACAUGCAAGUCGAGCGGGGGAGGUUGCUUCGGUAACUGACCUAGCGGCGGACGGGUGAGUAAUGCUUAGGAAUCUGCCUAUUAGCGGGGGGCAACAUCUCGAAAGGGAUGCUAAUACCGCAUACGUCCUACGGGAGAAAGCAGGGGACCUUCGGGCCUUGCGCUAAUAGAUGAGCCUAAGUCGGAUUAGCUAGUUGGUGGGGUAAAGGCCUACCAAGGCGACGAUCUGUAGCGGGUCUGAGAGGAUGAUCCGCCACACUGGGACUGAGACACGGCCCAGACUCCUACGGUAGGCAGCAGUGGGGAAUAUUGGACAAUGGGGGGAACCCUGAUCCAGCCAUGCCGCGUGUGUGAAGAAGGCCUUUUGGUUGUAAAGCACUUUAAGCGAGGAGGAGGCUACUGGUAUUAAUACUACCGGAUAGUGGACGUUACUCGCAGAAUAAGCACCGGCUAACUCUGUGCCAGCCGCCGCAGUAACAC
rnacentral:rRNA from 1 species